GUGGGGAAUCUUAGACAAUGGGCGCAAGCCUGAUCUAGCCAUGCCGCGUGAGCGAUGAAGGCCUUAGGGUUGUAAAGCUCUUUCAGGGGGGAAGAUAAUGACGGUACCCCCAGAAGAAGCCCCGGCUAACUCCGUGCCAGCAGCCGCGGUAAUACGGAGGGGGCUAGCGUUGUUCGGAAUUACUGGGCGUAAAGCGCACGUAGGCGGACCAGAAAGUCAGGGGUGAAAUCCCGGGGCUCAACCCCGGAACUGCCUUUGAAACUCCUGGUCUUGAGGUCGAGGGAGGUGAGUGGAAUUCCGAGUGUAGAGGUGAAAUUCGUAGAUAUUCGGAGGAACACCAGUGGCGAAGGCGGCUCACUGGCUCGAUACUGACGCUGAGGUGCGAAAGCGUGGGGAGCAAACAGGAUUAGAUACCCGUGUAGUCC
rnacentral:rRNA from 1 species